rnacentral:lncRNA from 10 species
CCUGCUGUACUGCCACUGCCCAAUAUAUAAUAUUUCAGGAAACAUUGCUUUAUGAAGGGCUCCAUAACAGUUAAUGAAGUUGCAUGAGAAGCAGUGUGAUAUUCGAGGACAGAGGUUCUCAAACUGUCUUCCCAGACUAGCAGCAUCAGCAGCAUCAGGGAAGUUGUUGAAAAGCAAAUGCUGUGGCCCUCUGCUGCAGACCUACUGAGUCAGAAAGUCUGGAGGAGAGCCAAGAUACCCACCUUGGAGCCCAAGCUGAGGGGUAUUUUCGAUGUGUAUCUUGUGGAACCAGUCCUGCCAAUCUCAUCCAGUGACUAAAAAUGCCUAACCUCCUGGGAAUGGAGGUCAAGCAAGUUUCAGCCUCAUUUUACACAACACCUAUUCAAGAUGGAGGUGCUCUGGUUCAAAUCACUCUGACAAGCAGUCACUACCCCUGCCCCAAAGCCAAGCAUUGUAGGGAAUCUUAUCUGGUAACAAAGAGUUGAUCUGAAGUGAUGUUUGAAAAUGAGUGGGGUGGUUGUUUGUUGAAUCAGUGAGACAAUGAGUAGGGAAUGAGGGAGACUGUCAUUUAAUUGGUAAAGACCAGAGGUGCUAAUUGUUCUGCAAUUCCAUAGCAUUUCACUCAGCAUUCCACAAAAUCAAGCAUGCUCCCUCCCGAAAUAUUCACAUCGCCCCACUGAGAAACUGCCCCAGAGCACCCUGGGGAAGCUCAGCUUUGCAUUCCCACUUCUAUUAGACAGCCUUUGUGACACACACACCUUGUCCCUGUGAACAUGGUGAAUGGAAAUUAUCUUCUCCACAUUAACUUUGAAUACAUGGGCCAAGGAAAUGGCCCUAGGUGUAUACCAGUCCUGCUUCUUUCUCACUCCUUGGCUAGAGAAAGAAAGAAUUUAGCAAAUUCAUCAUUAGUCAAGAAUAAGGGGCUGCAUUUUGUUUUAAAAAUCCUCUCCUUCCAUUUUCAAUUCUAGUACAGGCCAUAUCAGAAUUAUAAUUAAUGAAAUAAAUGUUAAUUCAAAUUAUCUAUAUUUAAUGAGUUCAUGAUUCAUUAACUUGAAAAGAAUCCAUUUGUUUGCAUAAAAUGAAUCUCAAUGAUGGAACUAUAUAAUUAUUUAGUAUGAAUGAUGAUAGUGCACUUAAUAAAAUUAGAACAAUUUUUUGGUUAAUGUUACAGAUUAGG